AUGCUUGCUUCAUCAGCACAUACACUAAAAUUGGAACAAUACAGAGAUUAGCCUGGCCCCUGUGCAAGGAUAACAUGCAAAUUCGUGAAGUGUUUCAUAUUUAU
ensembl:snRNA U6 U6 spliceosomal RNA